CACAAGAUAAUCUCACCAUUAAGAGGUGGGCUGGAAAAAUGAGACACUUAUCUCCUAACUUGUUGAGUCACAGUUCUAGGUUUAUGGCCUAUUCUGCACCCAUUGCCCUCCCAUUGGGAAGAUCUCCCAGUUCAACAGCACACAGACUUGACAUGGCAUAACGCUGUUCUUUUGGCUGCUUGACUGGAAAGCGGGAAACUUUGGGACUUUGUGCCUCCCAGGGAGCUGGCCCAUUGAACUGAGCUGUAUUUUCACUCUGUCUGAAGCAGGGAUGGCUGCCAAGUAGUAUCCUGCCACCUCUUUAUAUGGAAAAUACUAGGGCGAGGUCAGAGAUAAAAAUAGUCACCGGGGUUCUCCUUUACAUGAAGACCCCCUUUAUACCAGGCUGGUGGAGUAGGGGCUGUGAAGGGUCCUUAGCGUACAUGAGAAUCACCCCCCAGGGAGCUUAGCAAGUGGAAUGUGGGCGUUACUCAUUAAAAAGAAGUUCUUGGUAGAUAAACAUAUUGGUCAUGAGUCAUUUUUACAGGCUACCUCAACUAACAUUGAAAUAAAUAUUUGUUUGGAUUCCAUCUGUUGCUUCUGUUUAUCAGUGCAGAGGAACUCAGCUCCCAGUAGUUCUUCUGUCACCUUAUGUCAAUCGCCACCUAUGGAAGUUAGAACCAAGCUGCUGGAGUACCUCUGAUUUCCCUCAGGGUACCAAUUUCCUCUCGUGGAGCAUAAGGACAUUCAGGAAGCUCCUGCCAGCAUAACUAGAAUGCUUUGGAUAGAAGGAGAAGCAAAACAUGUUCAUCAUGGGGCAAUUUCUGCCUUUGCCUCUUCAUGUGCACGGGACCGAACAUGCAGCUAGCCCAGUGUCGUUUCCCCGAAUGGGGUGACGAGGAGUUAGGAGUUCACUGAAUACACACCUUCUGUAAAGCCCAGAGCUCAAAUCCAGAGAGGGUCUCUGCUUGCUGUCAUGAAAAGUACAGCGGGGUGUUGGAAGUGCUGGCUUCCCCCAUACUGUCCUCGCAGCGGGCCUCCAUCUGAAUGGAAAGGGGACCACCUAUAAGGAGGCAGAAGUCUCCGUUUCCAUGAGCUUACAGCAGAGAGUAUAGCACUUCAUCCAAUUUCUGAUUUAAAGCGUGAGCCAUUUUCCAAAUGCUCUCUUGCCAGAUCAACUGUGCAUUUCAUCAGCCUCUUGCCCACCAGCAAUCAUGAAAUAUGAGACAUUGUGGGAAAGCAAAGUCGUAGAAAGAGUGUCUUGUUCCAGACUCCCCAGCCCAGCUGCUCUCCAGGCAGCUUUUGUGAUGCUAGGGACAGUAAACAUCAGCCUGAAAAAAUCAGAGAGUUUGAGCAUUUUGGCUUCCGGCCAUUGGACAACUUCUUAUUUUUACUGAUGCAUGGUUAUGAAAAUUAAAGGGCCCUUUAGUGUUAAUAUCUUUGGAAGCUGCUAUGUGAUAUAUCUGGAAUCAGUCCAGGAUGUUCCUACCUGCUCUGCAUCCUAUGCUAUAAGGAUACAAAGCAGUUCUCUUCUUCCUCUAUGCCUCAAUCUACACCACUUUUAAUCAAUUUUAAUUUCUCCUUCCAUUAAAUUGGCCUGUCCAACCAGACUUACAAAUAACGCAACAACGUUGAGUUUCGGGAGCCCUGUAUUGACUGGAGUAACUAGAUAUAUCUCUUCACAGCUAGAGUGGUGGAUAUGGCACAAGUAUUUGUUCUUAACUGCACUGCAGGGAAUUAAUUUAUUUAUGUAUAUUCCAUUUACAGGCAUGCCACACAUCAGGCUUUCACCCUGUCAGUUUGUAUAACAGGAUCAGAAGUGGCAGAGAGAAGGCAACGCCCAUUUCUGAGCAUUUUUCGUUUGUUUAUUUCUCCAGUAACUCAGUUAAAGACAUAUCAGAAUUUAACUGUCAAUGGGCCAAACUCAUCCCUGGAGUAACUAUUGACUUCAGGGGGCUUACAGCAAGAAUGAAUUUCUUACCUACCUGACAACUCCUGCUCUGUUUCCACUUCUACAGUCUAUCCUUAGCCUCCACAUUCUUAGUUCUUCUCUGAGGUCUUAUGUUAAUUCUCUCCGUUGUGCUCAGGGCUACACUUAAGGAAUCCAAAGACUGGCAGAAAAAUGCAACCUUGGCAUCACUGGCAGAUUGCCACACCAAUUAAUAUCACACUAGGAGUUCAGAUACCAUGGUGAUGGGUGUGGUAUAAGAACCUGAACAGAAUACCAUGAAUAGACUGUACUACAGAUAUGCUGUGGAUAGGAGGUAUAUUUCUAAGGGAGUGUUCUGAGUGGACAGACACACAGUAUUCUGAACAUAUUUUUAAUGAUAAAGGAUUAAAUUCACCCCAUGUGCAUAGGUCCAGUGGAAGUUAAGUAGGAUUUCAGUGGUGCUGAAGCUGUCAACAUAUGGAGAUCUAGAUUUGAUUCCUGACCCUGCUUCAGACUUCCUGUGGGGCCUUGGGCAAGUCACUUAAUCUCUCUGUGCCUUUGUUCCCCAACUGGAGGAUAAUACGACUUUGUUUCACCCACCCUUUGACUGAAAUUCAUAUUGUAAGUUCUCCAGGGCAGAAGCUGUCUCCUACUGUUGCAGUUACUGUGCCUUGUACAAGGGGCUCUGGUGUCAUUUGGGCCUCUGUGUGCUACUGUAACACAAAUAAUAAUUAAUAAGAACCACCUGACUAGUUCAAAGCAUCAAGUCUGAUAUCAUCUGCUAUUAUAAUUACGAAAGAUAUUAUCAGACUCCAUAAGCACACCAAAUAGCUUUCUGGCUCUGGUGCACAGUGGAGGUAAAACAUACUGACUGAAGUGCUCCAGUCCUUUCUGUGUGAGCAAAAUGAAGCAUCCACUCUCUGACUUACAUCAACAAGAAUCGUUCAUGCAUGUAUGGAAGCCUUCUGUAUGUACAGUAGCAAAUGGAAUAGACCAGUUUGCUGUGAUCAGGAUUUCUCUGCCAAAACAGUUAUUCUUGUGUCUUCCCACACCUUAGGAACACAUAUACGAGAGCAGUACAGUGAGUCUACCCAUGGAAUAAUCAUCUGUUGGCGUGAAAGGCCUAUCAAGACUAAUGGAAGCCAUACACAGAAUGUUAAGUAGAGUUUGGUACAAUUUAUCAAGGGCUAUCUGACCUGUCCGGUCCUCCAUCUGUUUCUCAAAAAUGGCCUGGACAGUCCUUCCUCUCUGCCACUGUCCUGUUCUACAAUAUUAGUGUUACACAUGUCUACGUGCAAAGUUGGAACAACAAUUAAGCAAGCCCUCAGCUGAGCUCGUCUGGAGUUGUUCUUCCAUAGGGAUCCUUUCUUAUUACAUUUGCUAUUGCCCAGUUUUUAAAAAAUGGCUUUGGAGGGAGUGGGGUUAUUCAGCCUGUAGUCAGGAAAGGGCUGGCUCAAGCUACCCUAGAGCUUCCCUUUCCAUUUCCCCAAAUACAAGGUCAUCAAGAAGGCAAAGAAGAUUCAUGGAAUGUUAUGCACUGAAAAUGAAGUUAUUAGCAUACAGUGAUGUGUUCAGUAUUCCUUAGAAAGCUGUUGUAUAGCCAUUCCUUUGUGUAUUCUUGUCUUCCUUGGAAACUUGGACUUUGUAAAAUCCAGAUACUACUUAAAUAUAUCACACAUUAUGUUUCUCUGACUAAAGUACAUUGAACUAAAUGAAAUUCAGUUUAAAUUAGAAAGCCCUGUUGUGAAGUUCAGAUCUGGGUCCAAAGCUGAACUGCCCUGGGACUGUCCAGCUCUAGUUAGCUCUUUAGCCAAAUGUAUUUUAUACCACCUUUAACUAUGGUUGAUCUGAGUUUGGGUUCUGGCCCAUAGCUACUUAUAAUAGACCUGAUCCAAAGUUCAUUAAAAAUCAAUGAAAGUCUUUCCAUUGGCAUCAGUGGUCUUUGGAUCAGGUCCAAUCUAUUCUAUACAGAGUGUCCAUAAUUAAGAUUUUAAAAAAUAUCUCACCAACUGUUGAAGUUUCAGAUCCACCACUAAUCCUUCUUGUCUUCCAAGACUUGCUUUGAUUUAUGUUAAGGUGUUCGAUAAACUCAUCUGACUGGCUUCCUUUCCUUUGCCUAUAUUUUAUAAAUAUACCCUUUAGUUUACCCCACAGUGUAGUUUGUUGCAGGAGUAAUCUGCUUGUCCUGAAUUAUUAAAUCAGCCAGACUCUGUUUCCAAUAUUCUAAUACUUGUCCAGAAUCUAAAUGGAGCCUAGCCAAAUCUAAUGCUUUUAGUACUGAGUUAGCACCCCCACCCUUUUUUUUUUUUUUUUGGCAACUUGGAGCCAAAAGAUUAAGUACUGGUUGGGCAAUUAAAACUGGAAGAUUAACAGCACAGCUUUAAAAUGUGUGUCCCUUCCCUGAACAUCACAUCCUAGUUCCUCAUGGUCGGGAAAGAAAUCGUAUGACUCACCAGCAGCAUCUCUAAGCUAGAAUUUCUUUCAUGCCAUCAACCCCAUUUUAAAAAUGAAGACUAUAGUUGAUCUUGUCACCUGCAGCCAGGAUUUUAAUUCUCUAAAGGGGGUCUGAGGUAAUGUAUAAACUAUUGCUAUUCACAGAAUCAUAGAAUCAUAGGACUGGAAGGGACCUUGAGAGGUCAUCUAGUCCAGUCCCCUGCACUUAUGGCAGGACUAAGUAUUACCUAGACCAUCCCUGACAGGUGUUUGUCUAACCUGCUCUUAAAAAUCUCCAAUUAUGGAGAUUUCACGACAUUCCCUAGGCAAUUUAUUUCAGUGCUUAACCACCCUGACAGGAAGAUUUUUC